ACGAAUAACUAUGGUGUUGGUUGUAGCUGCCUCCUCGGAGGAAUGUGCACGCCCGCCAUUUUUAUCUUUCCACCUGUGCACCGACUGUAGGUCUGGAUAACGCUCGCCUCACGGCGGAUGCGAGGGUUGGACUGCUUCACGGCGGUUCUCCCCUCGAAUUUCCAGGUUCUACGUCUUUUACACACCCCAAUAGUAUGAUAUAGAAUGUAGUCAAUGGGCUUCUUAGCCUAUAAAACACUAUA
rnacentral:misc_RNA from 1 species